GGGCCUGUAGCUCAGAUUGGCUAGAGCAUCUGCCUUGCACGCAGAGGGUCGUGAGUUCGAGUCUCAUCAGGUCCA
rnacentral:tRNA from 1 species